GGGGAGGGGGGUUGCUUACCAUGCAAGUCGAACGAUGAAGCUGGGGCUUGCUCUGGUGGAUUAGUGGCGAACGGGUGAGUAACACGUGAGUAACCUGCCCCUGACUCUGGGAUAAGCGCUGGAAACGGCGUCUAAUACCGGAUAUGCACGGUAACCGCAUGGUUUGUCGUGGGAAAGAUUUAUCGGUUGGGGAUGGACUCGCGGCCUAUCAGCUUGUUGGUGAGGUAAUGGCUCACCAAGGCGUCGACGGGUAGCCGGCCUGAGAGGGUGACCGGCCACACUGGGACUGAGACACGGCCCAGACUCCUACGGGAGGCAGCAGUGGGGAAUAUUGCACAAUGGGCGCAAGCCUGAUGCAGCAACGCCGCGUGAGGGAUGACGGCCUUCGGGUUGUAAACCUCUUUUAGCAGGGAAGAAGGCUUCGGUUGACGGUACCUGCAGAAAAAGCGCCGGCUAACUACGUGCCAGCAGCCGCGGUAAUACGUAGGGCGCAAGCGUUAUCCGGAAUUAUUGGGCGUAAAGAGCUCGUAGGCGGUUUGUCGCGUCUGCUGUGAAAACUGGAGGCUCAACCUCCAGCCUGCAGUGGGUACGGGCAGACUAGAGUGCGGUAGGGGGAGAUUGGAAUUCCUGGUGUAGCGGUGGAAUGCGCAGAUAUCAGGAGGAACACCGAUGGCGAAGGCAGAUCUCUGGGCCGUUACUGACGCUGAGGAGCGAAAGGGUGGGGAGCAAACAGGCUUAGAUACCCUGGUAGUCCACCCCGUAAACGUUGGGAACUAGUUGUGGGGGCCUUUCCACGGUCUCUGUGACGCAGCUAACGCAUUAAGUUCCCCGCCUGGGGAGUACGGCCGCAAGGCUAAAACUCAAAGGAAUUGACGGGGACCCGCACAAGCGGCGGAGCAUGCGGAUUAAUUCGAUGCAACGCGAAGAACCUUACCAAGGCUUGACAUAUACGAGAACGCUGCAGAGAUGUAGAACUCUUUGGACACUCGUAUACAGGUGGUGCAUGGUUGUCGUCAGCUCGUGUCGUGAGAUGUUGGGUUUAAGUCCCGCAACGAGCGCAACCCUUCUUUCUCUGGUUGCCAAGCACGUUUAUGGGGGAAACUCAGGGGAAAACUGGCCGGGGUUCACUUCCG
rnacentral:rRNA from 1 species